rnacentral:misc_RNA from 1 species
UCCGGCUUAUCACCGGCAGUCCCUCUAGAGUGCCCAACUGAAUGAUGGCAACUAAAGGCGGGGGUUGCGCUCGUUGCGGGACUUAACCCAACAUCUCACGACACGAGCUGACGACAGCCAUGCACCACCUGCGCACUAGCCCCGAAGGGCUGCCGUAUUUCUACGGCAUUCCAGUGCAUGUCAAGCCCUGGUAAGGUUCUUCGCGUUGCGUCGAAUUAAACCACAUGCUCCACCGCUUGUGCAGGCCCCCGUCAAUUUCUUUGAGUUUUAACCUUGCGGCCGUACUCCCCAGGCGGGGCACUUAAUGCGUUAGCUGCGGCACCCAGGGGGUCAAUACCCCGGACACCUAGUGCCCAUCGUUUACAGCGUGGACUAC